rnacentral:lncRNA from 1 species
AUUGAGCAGGUGGGUGAGAGCCUGGAAGGAAGGGCGAGCCCAGAAAUAGAAGUAUUUGUCCCUUGCAAAAGUCUUGGUUGUUUUAAGAAGAGAUUGGCAAAGCUUUUAGACUGGGUUUGCCCUGCAGCUUGCCCUGCCUGGGUGCUGGUGUGUCUGGGGGAGCUGUGCCCACAUUCUCCUCAGUGUCAGACCCUGACCAGCUCAGGAGGGCUGAGUCAAGGCAUUUUUUGCUGUAAUUCCUGUGUUCCCUGCAGUGGAGGCUCCGGGGUCAAGGUGAGGCAAGAUGCAUCCUGCCCGGGGUGCUCUGGGGUGGAGCUGCAGCUCUGGAAAUCAUCGAGUCUUCCCUGCCUCGGAGUAAAUACCACUUUGUUGGAGAUCCGGAAAUUCAUACUGAAUAUGAUAAACAAACUGCUGGUUGGGCUGGGAUUGCCAGGACAUGAAAAGAGUUCCAGAGCAGCAGAAGAUCUAACAGCUCUGAAAUGCACCACUGAGCCACACCAAUUAAGAGCAUUUCCAGUGAUUAUGUGAGCAUUCCUGUUCAACUCACAGAAAUUAUUUUAGGUUGUUUCUUCCGCUGCAUUUGUGUGUGGUCUGCACAGCAAACACGAGGUUUGCAGAGUGGGCUCAAAUGCUUCUGAUCAGUUUCUUUUAAAAUAUUUCUAUGAUAAUGUAUAUGCAAAAACUGAGUUUCCUGCUAAUUCCAGAUCUUUAAUUUUCUAUGUUAUGGUUGCCCUUUCAGAUAUAACUAAUUUUUUAGUUUAUAUAGACAAUGUAUUUUUAGAGAUGGCCUGUAGGAUAUAAAAACUUAAUCCUUUGUUUAAUAUCUCUUACAUAUGGGAGGUGGCUCUACUGUUCAGUCAGACUAUGCACAAGUUGUAUUUCACCAGACAUGUAGGAGCUGAGAAGAGAAUUGGGAAAUUAUUUCUGACUGAACAUCUGAAUGUCAGCCCCUUCUGAUAAGCACAGUGCUCUUCCUUCUAAAUCAUUCUAAAUCCUCCAUUUGAAUGCUUUCCUACUACUAUUUCAGUCACUUUGUCAGGAAUUAAAAUGUUAUAUUACUGUGAAAGAUCAGACUCUCCUGUUCUAUAGAUGAAUAAUAACCAUUUUUGACAGAAUUAUUUAAUAAUUAUAUUCUCAAUAUCAUUAUCCUGUUACAUGCUACUUAGAUUACAGUCUUAGUUGAAAAGUGCUCUUUAAUUAUCCUUUCCUUAUAAUUUCUUCUAGAGAUGUUUGUAUUCCUGGGGAGCAGGAUCAGUCUGGCUUCUGCCACUGUCUGGACUGGUGUAGUUUCUGUUAAACCAUUUUCCUCAGUGCUGGUGAGGUGCAGGUGUGAGGCAAAGCCUGGCACACUUAUUUUGCAGUUAUCAGUUUCUGCUUUUGCUAUCUCUAUUUGGCUGUCACAGAAACAUGAAGAGAGAACAAAACUCAGAGUUAAAGAAUAGGUGUGGCAUUUUUACCAUGAAUAUAAUGCUGUAAAAAUUAACUAAGGCCUUGUUCUUGUCUGGUGGUGUGUAAUGACUGAAAUUAAUGUUUUUCCAUUGGGAAAGGGGGAGAAAUUAUUCUGGAAAUUGAUGACUUUUAUUCACCCACCUACUGAAAUCUAGUGUGUACAGGACUUAACAGAAAACUCAGUGAUUAAUAGCCUUGGGUUUAGUACAGUAUCUUUUAUGUGGACAGUUUAUACAUAUUAAAAUCUUUUAAAAAGCGAGAAUUACCUUUUAUACCUUUGGAUCUGAUCAUCUGAGUGACAAGUUAGUGACACCACUCAUGCUGAGGCAGUUAGCAAGGGCUAAUUAUUGAUGGCAUGGUCCUACCACUUGUUUCCUGGGAGUUGUCUUACUGAUUUCAAUCUGGUGAUUGAGAUGGGGGGAAAAAGCAGGAGGAUUCCCAGCUGAGAGUAGCAGUACUUGAGAAUUAUUAUUUUUUGCUUGACAAAUCCCUGUCUGAUAAUUUUCACACUGCACAGUUUUUGAUGAGGUGUUUGGGACAUGGGGGAGGAUUCCUUCUCCUGCAGAGUGAUGAUGAGGCCAUAGAAGUGAUCAGGAUGUGAAUUAGAUCUGGUCAGAACCAAUACAGAUGUAUUCACACCUUGUUCUCUAAACCCCUGUCCCUCUCUCACCUUUCUGCCACCAGCAUGGCCAGCAUCAAUCCCCCAGAUGCUCUCAAGUGCCUGAAAUUCCUAAGACUUUAUGAGGAGCAGAAUUACGUUUUCUGUAAACAAAAUAAAAAUCUGAACUAUGCACA